UUGAAAUACCACCCUUUAAUGUUUGAUGUUCUAACGUGGACCCGUUACCCGGGUUGCGGACAGUGUCUGGUGGGUAGUUUGACUGGGGCGGUCUCCUCCUAAAGAGUAACGGAGGAGCACGAAGGUUGGCUAAUCCUGGUCGGACAUCAGGAGGUUAGUGCAAUGGCAUAAGCCAGCUUGACUGCGAGCGUGACGGCGCGAGCAGGUGCGAAAGCAGGUCAUAGUGAUCCGGUGGUUCUGAAUGGAAGGGCCAUCGCUCAACGGAUAAAAGGUACUCCGGGGAUAACAGGCUGAUACCGCCCAAGAGUUCAUAUCGACGGCGGUGUUUGGCACCUCGAUGUCGGCUCAUCACAUCCUGGGGCUGAAGUAGGUCCCAAGGGUAUGGCUGUUCGCCAUUUAAAGUGGUACGCGAGCUGGGUUUAGAACGUCGUGAGACAGUUCGGUCCCUAUCUGCCGUGGGCGCUGGAGAACUGAGGGGGGCUGCUCCUAGUACGAGAGGACCGGAGUGGACGCAUCACUGGUGUUCGGGUUGUCAUGCCAAUGGCACUGCCCGGUAGCUAAAUGCGGAAGAGAUAAGUGCUGAAAGCAUCUAAGCACGAAACUUGCCCCGA
rnacentral:rRNA from 1 species